UUAGAAAAUCUUAAUACAACUUUGUUUUUAGAUACGGCAGUAAGUACUCCCGAUCAGCGAGUGUUUUCGCCCGAAUACGACCAUAUGUACUCCCCCGUAAUCCCGGAAGAGAGAAUUUGGAGCGAUGAAGAAGG